AAAUAACAUUAAAAAACUUAAUACUAAAUAACAGUUUUAAUCUAUGGUCCACAGCGUCGCUCUCUAUCCUAUCUCAUAGAUUUUUAUUAUCUGUGGACCAUACCUGUAAAAGUCACUAUCACAUUGAUAACGAUAAACAUUAAGAAGAAAAAAAAAAAAAUUUUUAAUUAAUACAAUUUCACAAAUUCCUAUCAUAUAAAACAAAUGUUAUGGUGCGUGCGCAAAAAAAAGAACGUGCUCAGCAUAUGCUGCGACCUCAACCACAUGAAAUUGGUGCCACAGCGCUGAUUUUCAGCACAUCCUUUAGCGACAUGAUGGCGUCCGUCCCACCAUUUUGCUGAAAAAAUUUACUGAAACUCUCAUAUUACGAUGUGUAUGGCCAAGCACGAGGGGAAAGAUGCCACGAUGGACAAUAUCUGCUGAAUGCCUGCAACCUUUGCUUGAAGGCCGCGACCAUAAAGGCCUCGCAUUGGUGGUGGCAGGUUAUUCCAACAGUGAGUCGCAGCAUACCUGAAACUCCCUCUAAAGGCCGCAGUUCUGUGUUGAGGAAUGGAGAGUGGAUUUGUUCCAGUUCGGAUGUGGGUUUUAGAGGAAUCUUGCCUCCAAGUCAGUUUCUCAUACAGGUACCGCGGUUUUUGAGUAGUUACAACUCCAAAUAAUAGACCAGCCAGGUGUAGACGUCUUCUAGCUUCCAUUUUUAGAAUGUUGUGUUGCAUUGCGAACGGGGUGACAUG